AAGACCUUGCGCUUUUGGAGCGGCCGAUGCCUGAUUAGCUUGUUGGUAAGGUAAAAGCUUACCAAGGCUUCGAUCAGUAGCUGGUCUGAGAGGACGACCAGCCACACUGGGACUGAGACACGGCCCAGACUCCUACGGGAGGCAGCAGUGGGGAAUUUUGGACAAUGGGGGCAACCCUGAUCCAGCCAUGCCGCGUGAGUGAAGAAGGCCUUCGGGUUGUAAAGCUCUUUCAGCCGGAACGAAACGGUUACGGUUAAUACCCGUGAUUACUGACGGUACCGGAAGAAGAAGCACCGGCUAACUACGUGCCAGCAGCCGCGGUAAUACGUAGGGUGCGAGCGUUAAUCGGAAUUACUGGGCGUAAAGCGUGCGCAGGUGGUUUUGUAAGUCAGAUGUGAAAGCCCCGGGCCCAACCUGGGAACU
rnacentral:rRNA from 1 species